rnacentral:lncRNA from 1 species
UGUCACAGAACAGUACACCUAUUUAUCUGGAACUGGAAAAAAAAGUCCAAAGCGUGUUCCAAUUCACCUUGUGGAGUUGUGAGCUUUGAGGAGGUGGCAACUGCGGAGACUGCGGAGCUCUGCCUGUGUGCACUGACUGCAAGGUCAACGUGGGUGACCAGGUGCUGUGUUAUCCAGCUGUGUGGAGAGUGA